rnacentral:rRNA from 1 species
GAUGAACGCUGGCGGCGUGCCUAAUACAUGCAAGUCGAGCGAACGGACGAGAAUCUUGCUUCUCGGAUGUUAGCGGCGGACGGGUGAUUAACACGUGGAUAACCUACCUAUAAGACUGGGAUAACUUCGGGAAACCGGAUCUAAUACCGGAUAAUAUUUUGAACCGCAUGGUUCAAAAGUGAAAGACGGUCUUGCUGUCACGUAUAGAUGGAUCCGCGCUGCAUUAGCUAGUUGGUAAGGUAACGGCUUACCAAGGCAACGAUGCAUAGCCGACCUGAGAGGGUGAUCGGCCACACUGGAACUGAGACACGGUCCAGACUCCUACGGGAGGCAGCAGUAGGGAAUCUUCCGCAAUGGGCGAAAGCCUGACGGAGCAACGCCGCGUGAGUGAUGAAGGUCUUCGGAUCGUAAACCUCUGUUAUUAGGGAAGAACAUAUGUGUAAGUAACUGUGCACAUCUUGACGGUACCUAAUCAGAAAGCCACGGCUAACUACGUG